ACCUACGGAAGUCCAGUCGAGACCCGAAACAGCGAAAGAAGGGUUCUUGUUCUUGCGCUUGCUCUCUCUCUCUCUCUCUCACCACCUUGACUGCGUAUGGCGUCGUCGAUGAUGCUGUGCUCUGCCCAUUGAAGCGAUACAGCGAGAGCGACUAUGGAUGCUCCAAUCAUCGAUCCGUUGCAGGGAGAUUUCCCUGAAGUGAUUGAGGAGUACUUGGAACAUGGCAUUAUGAAAUGCGUCGCCUUCAACCGCCGCGGUACCCUCCUCGCCGCUGGAUGCACCGAUGGAAGUUGCAUUAUAUGGGACUUUGAGACCCGAGGCGUCGCAAAAGAGCUCCGGGACAAAGAAUGCACUGCUGCAAUUACGAGUGUCUGCUGGUCCACAUAUGGCCACCGCAUACUUGUGUCUGCUUCUGAUAAAUCUCUUAUUCUUUGGGAUGUUCUAAGUGGAGAGAAGAUAGCACAUACAACUCUGCAGCAUACAGUUCUACAAGCUCGUCUUCAUCCUGGUUCCUCGACUCCAUCUAUUUGCCUGGCCUGCCCUUUCUCAUCAUCUCCCAUGAUCGUUGACUUGAACACUGGAAGCACAACAGCUCUUCCAGUUUUGACUGCUGAUGUGAGCAACGGAAUUGCUCCUCUGCCCCGUAACAAGACAUCAGAUACAUCAGUUACUUACUCUCCGUGCAAUGCAUGCUUUAACAAGCAUGGGGAUCUGGUUUAUGCAGGAACUUCAAAGGGAGAAAUUCUUAUAAUCGAUCACAAGAAUGUCAGAGUGUGUGCCAUCGUCCUUGUUUCUGGUGGCUCUGUUAUCAAAAAUAUUGUGUUUAGUAGAAAUGGACAGUACAUGUUGACAAAUUCCAAUGACCGGAUGAUUAGAAUCUAUAAGAAUCUUCUACCUCCUAAAGAUGGAUUAAAGAUGCUUGAUGAAUUGAAUGAGGGCUUCAGUGAACCAGAUGAUGUGGAGAAAUUGAAGGCUGUUGGAUCGAAGUGCUUGGAACUUCUCCAUGAGUUUCAAGAUUCCAUCACUAGGGUCCAGUGGAAAGCACCUUGUUUUAGUGGUGAUGGAGAGUGGGUGAUUGGUGGUGCAGCAAGCAGAGGAGAGCACAAAAUUUAUAUAUGGGAUAGGGCCGGGCAUCUUGUUAAAAUUCUUGAAGGCCCAAAAGAAGCAUUGAUGGAUUUGGCAUGGCAUCCUGUUCAUCCGAUUAUCAUUUCUGUUUCUUUGACUGGCUUGGUUUAUAUAUGGGCUAAAGACUAUACUGAAAACUGGAGUGCGUUUGCUCCAGAUUUCAAAGAGCUUGAGGAGAAUGAGGAGUACGUCGAACGAGAAGAUGAAUUUGAUUUGGUGCCUGAAACUGAAAAGGUGAAAGAACCAGAUGUUCAUGAAGAUGAUGAAGUUGAUGUUCUGACUGUGGAGAGGGAUUCAGCUUUUAGUGACUCAGAUAUGUCCCAGGAGGAACUGUGCUUUUUGCCUGCAGUUCCUUGUCUUGAUGGUCCCGAGCAGCAAGACAAGUGUGUUGGCAGUUAUUCCAAGUUGCCAGAUGGUAACCAUUCUGGAUCGCCACUUUCAGUAGAGGCUGGUCAGAAUGGAAAUGGGAGCAACCAUAAUUCAAGCCCCCUCGAACAGGCAGAAAAGACUACAUUGAGUAUGUGUGAUGAAAAUUUAGCUGACAAUAUAGGCACACUAUUAAUGGAUGUUACGGAGGAGGGCAAAGGAGAGUCUCGGGAGGAGGGGUAGUAAUCAAGUUGCAGGAAUCUGUAGAUGAAAAUGUGAUUUCAAAAUAAGUGAUUAAUGGUUUUUAAGCAUGUAAAAACCAUGGAGAAUUCAACUGCCGAGGACACAGACGGAGCGCGAUUAAAAAGAAAACGCAGGCCUUCGGAGAAGGGGCUGGAAUUGCAGGCAGAGAAGGUCAAGAAACCUAUGAAACCUUUGAAACCGUCUGGUCGAUUGCCGAAAACUAAACAAGCUGUGAUUGAUCUGGAUUCUAGUAAUGGUGUAUAUGGAGACGAUGGUUCUGAUUGAUUCAAUCAAAUUGCAAAUUCUCAUUUCAUUUUCA